UACGUAGGGCGCGAGCGUUGUCCGGAAUUAUUGGGCGUAAAGAGCUCGUAGGCGGCUUGUCACGUCUGCUGUGAAAACGCGGGGCUUAACUCCGAGCUUGCAGUGGGUACGGGCAGGCUUGAGUAUAGUAGGGGAGACUGGAAUUCCUGGUGUAGCGGUGGAAUGCGCGGAUAUCAGGAGGAACACCGAUGGCGAAGGCAGGUCUCUGGGCUAUAACUGACGCUGAGGAGCGAAAGCAUGGGGAGCGAACAGGAUUAGA
rnacentral:rRNA from 1 species